CUUCUUCUUCUUCCUCUUCUUCUUUUUUCUUCUCCUCCUCCUCUUCUUCUUCUUCCUUUCCUUUUUCCUCUUCUUCUUCUCCUCCUCUCCUCUUUUUCUCUUCUUCUUCUUCUUUCCUCAAACUAAACUAAACCUAAAACUAAAACUAAAACUAAAUCUAAACUAAACAUAAACCUAAAACUAAUAAAACAGAAAAAAAGGAAAAAACUAAAUCUAAACCUAAAAUUAAACUAAAACUAAACCUAAAACUAAAACUAAAACUAAAUCUAAACUAAAACUAAAAAAGAAAAAAACAGAAAAAAAAACAGGAAAAAGGAGGGGGG
rnacentral:lncRNA from 1 species